ACCAGACUCCUACGGGAGGCAGCAGUAAGGGAUAUUGGUCAAUGGGGGAAACCCUGAACCAGCAACGCCGCGUGAGGGAAGACGGUUUUCGGAUUGUAAACCUCUGUCCUCUGUGAAGAUGAUGACGGUAGCAGAGGAGGAAGCUCCGGCUAACUACGUGCCAGCAGCCGCGGUAAUACGUAGGGGGCGAGCGUUAUCCGGAUUCACUGGGUGUAAAGGGAGCGUAGACGGCCAUGCAAGCCAGGGGUGAAAGCCCGGGGCCCAACCCCGGGACUGCCCUUGGAACUGCAUGGCUGGAGUGCGGGAGGGGCAGGCGGAAUUCCUGGUGUAGCGGUGAAAUGCGUAGAUAUAAGGAGGAACACCGGCGGCGAAGGCGGCCUGCUGGACCGCGACUGACGUUGAGGCUCGAAAGCGUGGGGAGCGGACAGGAUUAGAUACCCCCGUAUCA
rnacentral:rRNA from 1 species